rnacentral:rRNA from 1 species
AGUGAACGCUGGCGGUAGGCCUAACACAUGCAAGUCGAACGGCAGCACAGUAAGAGCUUGCUCUUACGGGUGGCGAGUAGCGGACGGGUGCGGAAUACAUCGGAAUCUACCUUUUCGUGGGGGAUAACGUAGGGAAACUUACGCUAAUACCGCAUACGCCCUACGGGUGAAAGUAGGGGAUCUUCGGACCUUGCGCGAUUGAAUGAGCGGAUGUCGGAUUAGCUAGUUGGCGGGGUAAAGGCCCACCAAGGCGACGAUCCGUAGCUGGUCUGAGAGGAUGAUCAGCCACACUGGAACUGAGACACGGUCCAGACUCCUACGGGAGGCAGCAGUGGGGAAUAUUGGACAAUGGGCGCAAGCCUGAUCCAGCCAUACCGCGUGGGUGAAGAAGGCCUUCGGGUUGUAAAGCCCUUUUGUUGGGAAAGAAAAGCAGCAGGUUAAUACCCCGCUGUUCUGACGGUACCCAAAGAAUAAGCACCGGCUAACUUCGUG